rnacentral:rRNA from 1 species
AGUGAACGCUGGCGGUAGGCCUAACACAUGCAAGUCGAACGGCAGCACAGUAAGAGCUUGCUCUUACGGGUGGCGAGUGGCGGGCGGGUGAGGAAUACAUCGGAAUCUACUUUUUCGUGGGGGAUAACGUAGGGAAACUUACGCUAAUACCGCAUACGACCUACGGGUGAAAGCAGGGGAUCUUCGGACCUUGCGCGAUUGAAUGAGCCGAUGUCGGAUUAGCUAGUUGGCGGGGUAAAGGCCCACCAAGGCGACGAUCCGUAGCUGGUCUGAGAGGAUGAUCAGCCACUCUGGAACUGAGACACGGUCCAGACUCCUACGGGAGGCAGCAGUGGGGAAUAUUGGACAAUGGGCGCAAGCCUGAUCCAGCCAUACCGCGUGGGUGAAGAAGGCCUUCGGGUUGUAAAGCCCUUUUGUUGGGAAAGAAAAGCAGCAGGUUAAUACCCCGCUGUUCUGACGGUACCCAAAGAAUAAGCACCGGCUAACUUCGUG